rnacentral:rRNA from 1 species
UAACCUGCCCAAGAGAUCGGGAUACCACCUGGAAACAGAUGCUAAUACCGGAUAACAACAGAUGAUGCCUAUCAACUGUUUAAAAGAUGGUUCUGCUAUCACUCUUGGAUGGACCUGCGGUGCAUUAGCUAGUUGGUAGGGUAACGGCCUACCAAGGCGAUGAUGCAUAGCCGAGUUGAGAGACUGAUCGGCCACAUUGGGACUGAGACACGGCCCAAACUCCUACGGGAGGCAGCAGCC